UCUGGCUCGGUCUGGCAUCCUCUUGGGGAACGUCGCAAUCUUGAUUGAUCGUGGCGGAAUUCAAGACUUUUACUUUGAGGAAAUUAGAGCGUUCACAGCAAGCAAGUGCUUUGAAUACAUUAGCAUGGAAUAAUGAUAUAGGACCUUUGUUCUAUUUUGUUGGUUUCUAGAACUAAGGUAAUGAUUAAUAGGGACAAUUGGGGGCAUUCGUAUUAACGCGUCAGAGGUGGAAUUCUUGGAUUGCGUUACGACGAACUACUGC
rnacentral:rRNA from 1 species